UAGUCAUAUGCUUGUCUCAAAGAUUAAGCCAUGCAUGUCUAAGUAUAAAAGUAUUCUAUACUUGAAACUGCGAAUAGCUCAUUAAAUCAGUUAUAGUUUAUUUGAUGGUGCCUUACUACAUGGAUACCCGUAGUAAUUCUAGAGCUAAUACAUGCCAAAAAAACCCAACCGCAAGGGCGGGUUGUAUUUAUUAGAUAAAAACCAUUACUCGCAAGAGUUUUUGUGGUGAUUCAUAAUAACUGUUCGAAUCGCAUGCCGCAAGGCGGCGAUAGAUCAUU
rnacentral:rRNA from 1 species